AUUGAACGCUGGCGGCAGGCCUAACACAUGCAAGUCGAGCGCGAAAGGCCUUCGGGCUGAGUAGAGCGGCGGACGGGUGAGUAACGCGUAGGAAUCUACCUGGUAGUGGGGGACAACUUGGGGAAACUCAAGCUAAUACCGCAUACGCCCCAUGGGGGAAAGCGGGGGACCUUCGGGCCUCGCGCUAUCAGAGGAGCCUGCGUAGGAUUAGCUAGUUGGUGAGGUAAAGGCUCACCAAGGCGACGAUCCUUAGCUGGUCUGAGAGGAUGAUCAGCCACACUGGGACUGAGACACGGCCCAGACUCCUACGGGAGGCAGCAGUGGGGAAUAUUGCGCAAUGGGGGCAACCCUGACGCAGCCAUGCCGCGUGUGUGAAGAAGGCCUUCGGGUUGUAAAGCACUUUAAGUGGGGAGAAAAGGGUAGUUGCUAAUAACGGCUACCUGUGAUAUUACCCACAGAAUAAGCACCGGCUAACUCCGUGCCAGCCGCCGCCGUAA
rnacentral:rRNA from 1 species